GACGAACGCUGGCGGCGUGCUUAACACAUGCAAGUCGAACGAAGAGCGAUGGAGGCUUGCUUCUAUCAAUCUUAGUGGCGAACGGGUGAGUAACGCGUAAUCAACCUGCCCUUCAGAGGGGGACAACAGUUGGAAACGACUGCUAAUACCGCAUACGAUCUAAUCUCGGCAUCGAGGAUAGAUGAAAGGUGGCCUCUACAUGUAAGCUAUCACUGAAGGAGGGGAUUGCGUCUGAUUAGCUAGUUGGAGGGGUAACGGCCCACCAAGGCGAUGAUCAGUAGCCGGUCUGAGAGGAUGAACGGCCACAUUGGGACUGAGACACGGCCCAGACUCCUACGGGAGGCAGCAGUGGGGAAUCUUCCGCAAUGGACGAAAGUCUGACGGAGCAACGCCGCGUGAGUGAUGACGGCCUUCGGGUUGUAAAGCUCUGUUAAUCGGGACGAAAGGCCUUCUUGCGAAUAGUGAGAAGGAUUGACGGUACCGGAAGAGAAAGCCACGGCUAACUACGUG
rnacentral:rRNA from 1 species